UGGGGAAUAUUGCACAAUGGGCGAAAGCCUGAUGCAGCGACGCCGCGUGAGGGAUGACGGCCUUCGGGUUGUAAACCUCUUUCAGCAGGGACGAAGCGCAAGUGACGGUACCUGCAGAAGAAGCACCGGCUAACUACGUGCCAGCAGCCGCGGUAAUACGUAGGGUGCAAGCGUUGUCCGGAAUUACUGGGCGUAAAGAGUUCGUAGGCGGUUUGUCGCGUCGUUUGUGAAAACCAGCAGGUCAACUGCUGGCUUGCAGGCGAUACGGGCAGACUUGAGUACUGCAGGGGAGACUGGAAUUCCUGGUGUAGCGGUGAGAUGCGCAGAUAUCAGGAGGAACACCGGUGGCGAAGGCGGGUCUCUGGGCAGUAACUGACGCUGAGGAACGAAAGCGUGGGUAGCGAACAGG
rnacentral:rRNA from 1 species